UGCCGGAGUGCUUGCACUUUGGCAGACUGAGUGGCGGACGGGUGAGUAACGCGUGGGUAACCUGCCUUAUACAGGGGGAUAACAGUUGGAAACGACUGCUAAUACCGCAUAAGCGCACGGUAUCGCAUGGGACAGUGUGAAAAACUCCGGUGGUGUGAGAUGGACCCGCGUCUGAUUAGCUAGUUGGUGGGGUAACGGCCUACCAAGGCGACGAUCAGUAGCCGACCUGAGAGGGUGACCGGCCACAUUGGGACUGAGAUACGGCCCAGACUCC
rnacentral:rRNA from 1 species